UACAGAGGGUGCGAGCGUUAAUCGGAAUUACUGGGCGUAAAGCGUGCGUAGCCGGUUAUUUAAGUCGGGUGUGAAAGCCCCGGGCUCAACCUGGGAAUUGCAUUCGAGACUGAAUAGCUAGGGUACGGUAGAGGGAAGUGGAAUUUCCGGUGUAGCGGUGAAAUGCGUAGAUAUCGGAAGGAACAUCAGUGGCGAAAGCGACUUCCUGGACCAGUACCGACGUUCAGGCACGAAAGCGUGGGGAGCGAACAGG
rnacentral:rRNA from 1 species